UGCGUAGGUGGUUUGGUAAGUUAUCUGUGAAAUUCCUGGGCUUAACCUGGGCAUGUCAGGUAAUACUGCUAAACUCGAGUACAGGAGAGGGUAGUGGAAUUUCCGGUGUAGCGGUGAAAUGCGUAGAGAUCGGAAGGAACACCAGUGGCGAAGGCGGCUACCUGGCCUGAUACUGACACUGAGGCACGAAAGCGUGGGGAGCAAACA
rnacentral:rRNA from 1 species